GACGAACGCUGGCGGCGUGCUUAACACAUGCAAGUCGAGCGAGGCCCUUCCUUCGGGAAGGUGCCCUAGCGGCGAACGGGUGAGUAACACGUGGGCAACCUGCCCCUAGCACUGGGAUAACUCCGGGAAACCGGGGCUAAUACCGGAUAUGACCUCGGAGGGCAUCCUCCUUGGUGUAAAGGAUUCUGGCUAGGGAUGGGCCCGCGGCCUAUCAGCUUGUUGGUGGGGUAACGGCCUACCAAGGCGACGACGGGUAGCCGGCCUGAGAGGGCGACCGGCCACACUGGGACUGAGACACGGCCCAGACUCCUACGGGAGGCAGCAGUGGGGAAUAUUGCACAAUGGGCGAAAGCCUGAUGCAGCGACGCCGCGUGAGGGAUGACUGCCUUCGGGUUGUAACCUCUUUCAGCAGGGACGAAGCGAAAGUGACGGUACCUGCAGAAGAAGCACCGGCCAACUACGUGCC
rnacentral:rRNA from 1 species